rnacentral:rRNA from 1 species
UACGGGGGGGGCAAGCGUUGUUCGGAAUUACUGGGCGUAAAGGGCGCGUAGGCGGCCCGUUUAGUCGGGUGUGAAAUCCCGGGGCUCAACCCCGGAACUGCAUUCGAUACUGGCGGGCUUGAGACCGGAAGAGGUGGGUGGAAUACCCAGUGUAGAGGUGAAAUUCGUAGAUAUUGGGUGGAACACCGGUGGCGAAGGCGGCUCACUGGUCCGGUUCUGACGCUGAGGCGCGAAAGCGUGGGGAGCAAACAGG